rnacentral:lncRNA from 10 species
AGCGCCCGAGGAACCCCGCAGCCCACUGCCCUGGCGUCUCCGGCAGUGGGAGGCCGAGAGGGGCUGUUGGCUAGAGCCCUCCACCACCUGCUGUCUCGCCCUCGCCCCUUUCUCUCGGAUUCAUUACCCAGAAGGCGCAGAAAUGAAGACACAAGAUAAUAAAAGGAUUUGACUUUUCAGUAUCCCUUUCGAACUGGGCACCACCCAGAAGAAAGAUUCUGUUAACUACUCCCUUUAGAAAUUAUCUCAAGUUUCAGAAGCUUACAAGUGCACAAAAAUGUUUCCUGCCGCCCCCACCAAGAUGGAACAGGGACAAGAAGAACUGAUCUGCAUCAUCCUCUAGAUUCUGUGUGCGCUUCCUGAUCCAUGCCUCCAAAUGACAAGGGUUACAGGCAUGCAGCAAUGAAUGUAGGCAAAAUCCUUUCUGUAUCUAAUUCAAAACACCAGUACCCCCAGUCUAGCAAAGGAAGUGAGAAUGCCCCAACCACUCUAAUCAGGGACAUGGACAGUUCUCCCAGCAGAAGUAAUGAGGGCCUCCUCUUGAGUCAAGAAGAUACUAUCUUCCCUCUGAAUCCACAAAAUGAAUCCACAAAAGCUCUAGUAGCUAAUUUUUCCUUUCAUUAAAAUAAAACAGGUGGUACAGUAAGUAAAGAGCUUAUCAAUUGCACAUUAAACUAGAGGUAAU